rnacentral:rRNA from 1 species
GAGCGGUAGAAGAUCUUCGGAUCUUUGAGAGCGGCGUACGGGUGCGGAACACGUGUGCAACCUGCCUUUAUCUGGGGGAUAGCCUUUCGAAAGGAAGAUUAAUACCCCAUAAUAUUUUGAAUGGCAUCAUUUAAAAUUGAAAACUCCGGUGGAUAGAGAUGGGCACGCGCAAGAUUAGAUAGUUGGUGAGGUAACGGCUCACCAAGUCAGUGAUCUUUAGGGGGCCUGAGAGGGUGAUCCCCCACACUGGUACUGAGACACGGACCAGACUCCUACGGGAGGCAGCAGUGAGGAAUAUUGGACAAUGGGUGAGAGCCUGAUCCAGCCAUCCCGCGUGAAGGACGACGGCCCUAUGGGUUGUAAACUUCUUUUGUAUAGGGAUAAACCUUUCCACGUGUGGAAAGCUGAAGGUACUAUACGAAUAAGCACCGGCUAACUCCGUGCCAGCAGCCGCGGUAAUACGGAGGGUGCAAGCGUUAUCCGGAUUUAUUGGGUUUAAAGGGUCCGUAGGCGGGCUCGUAAGUCAGUGGUGAAAUCUCAUAGCUUAACUAUGAAACUGCCAUUGAUACUGCGAGCCUUGAGUAAGGUAGAGGUAGCUGGAAUAAGUAGUGUAGCGGUGAAAUGCAUAGAUAUUACUUAGAACACCAAUUGCGAAGGCAGGUUACCAUGUCUUAACUGACGCUGAUGGACGAAAGCGUGGGGAGCGAACAGGAUUAGAUACCCUGGUAGUCCACGCCGUAAACGAUGCUAACUCGUUUUUGGGGCUUUAUGCUUCAGAGACUAAGCGAAAGUGAUAAGUUAGCCACCUGGGGAGUACGUUCGCAAGAAUGAAACUCAAAGGAAUUGACGGGGGCCCGCACAAGCGGUGGAUUAUGUGGUUUAAUUCGAUGAUACGCGAGGAACCUUACCAAGGCUUAAAUGGGAAUUGACAGGUUUAGAAAUAGACUUUUCUUCGGACAAUUUUCAAGGUGCUGCAUGGUUGUCGUCAGCUCGUGCCGUGAGGUGUUAGGUUAAGUCCUGCAACGAGCGCAACCCCUGUCACUAGUUGC